UACGUAGGGCGCAAGCGUUAUCCGGAAUUAUUGGGCGUAAAGAGCUCGUAGGCGGUUUGUCGCGUCUGCCGUGAAAGUCCGGGGCUCAACUCCGGAUCUGCGGUGGGUACGGGCAGACUAGAGUGAUGUAGGGGGAGACUGGAAUUCCUGGUGUAGCGGUGAAAUGCGCAGAUAUCAGGAGGAACACCGAUGGCGAAGGCAGGUCUCUGGGCCAUUACUGACAUGAGAAGCGAAAGCAUGGGGGAGCGAACAGG
rnacentral:rRNA from 1 species